rnacentral:rRNA from 1 species
CGUAGGGUGCAAGCGUUAAUCGGAAUUACUGGGCGUAAAGCGUGCGCAGGCGGUGAUGUAAGACAGAUGUGAAAUCCCCGGGCUUAACCUGGGAACUGCAUUUGUGACUGCAUCGCUGGAGUGCGGCAGAGGGGGAUGGAAUUCCGCGUGUAGCAGUGAAAUGCGUAGAUAUGCGGAGGAACACCGAUGGCGAAGGCAAUCCCCUGGGCCUGCACUGACGCUCAUGCACGAAAGCGUGGGGAGCAAACAGGAUUAGAUACCCUGGUAGUCCACGCCCUAAACGAUGUCAACUGGUUGUUGGGUCUUCACUGACUCAGUAACGAAGCUAACGCGUGAAGUUGACCGCCUGGGGAGUACGGCCGCAAGGUUG